AACAUCGCGCACCUGCGGGAACCUGCGGAGGGAUCAUUACAAGUGACCCCGGUCUAACCACCGGGAUGUUCAUAACCCUUUGUUGUCCGACUCUGUUGCCUCCGGGGCGACCCUGCCUUCGGGCGGGGGCUCCGGGUGGACACUUCAAACUCUUGCGUAACUUUGCAGUCUGAGUAAACUUAAUUAAUAAAUUAAAACUUUCAACAACGGAUCU
rnacentral:misc_RNA from 1 species